GACGAACGCUGGCGGCGUGCCUAACACAUGCAAGUCGAACGGAAAGGCCCUGCUUUUGUGGGGUGCUCGAGUGGCGAACGGGUGAGUAACACGUGAGUAACCUGCCCUUGACUUAGGGAUAACUUCAGGAAACUGGGGCUAAUACCGGAUAGGAGCUCCUGCUGCAUGGUGGGGGUUGGUAAGUUUCGGCGGUUGGGGAUGGACUCGCGGCUUAUCAGCUUGAUGGUGGGGUAGUGGCUUACCAAGGCUUUGAAGGGUAGCAGGCCUGAGAGGGUGACCGGCCUCAUUGGGCCUGAGAUACGGCCCAGACUCCAACGGGACGCAGCGGUGGGGAAUAUUGCACAGUGGGCGGAAGCCUGAUGCAGCAACGCCGCGUGCGGGAUGACGGCCUUCGGGUUGUAAACCGCUUUCGCCUGAGACGAGGCGUUAGUGACGGUAAUGGGUAAAGAAGCACCGGCUAACUACGUG
rnacentral:rRNA from 1 species